rnacentral:rRNA from 1 species
GUGGGGAAUUUUGGACAAUGGGCGCAAGCCUGAUCCAGCAAUGCCGCGUGCAGGAAGAAGGCCUUCGGGUUGUAAACUGCUUUUGUACGGAACGAAACGGUCCUGGCUAAUAUCCGGGGCUAAUGACGGUACCGUAAGAAUAAGCACCGGCUAACUACGUGCCAGCAGCCGCGGUAAUACGUAGGGUGCGAGCGUUAAUCGGAAUUACUGGGCGUAAAGCGUGCGCAGGCGGUGCUGUAAGACAGGCGUGAAAUGCCCGGGCUCAACCUGGGAAUUGCGCUUGUGACUGCAGGGCUGGAGUGCGGCAGAGGGGGAUGGAAUUCCGCGUGUAGCAGUGAAAUGCGUAGAUAUGCGGAGGAACACCGAUGGCGAAGGCAAUCCCCUGGGCCUGCACUGACGCUCAUGCACGAAAGCGUGGGGAGCAAACAGGAUUAGAUACCCUUGUAGUCC